CGUAGAAGUGUUUGGCGUAAGCCUGCAUGGAGCCGCCAUUGGCACAGAUCUUGGUGGUAGUAGCAAAUAAUCGAAUGAGACCUUGGAGGACUGAAGUGGAGAAGGGUUUCGUGUGAACAGUGGUUGAUCACGAGUUAGUCGGUCCUAAGUUCAAGGCGAAAGCCGAAAAUUUUCAAGUUGAACGAAAGGGAAUACGGUUCCAAUUCCGUAACCUGUUGAGUAUACGUUUGUUAUUAAAUAUGGGCUUUCAGCUCAUCCUGGCAACAGGAACAACCAUAGAGAAGCCGUCGAGAGGUAUCGGAAGAGUUUUCUUUUCUGUUUUAUAGUCGUACUACCAUGGAAGUCUUUCGAAGAGAGAUAUGGUAGAUGGACUAGAAGAGCAUGGCAUUUACUGCUGUGUCGAUAUUUUCUCCUCGGACCUUGAAAAUCUAUGGUGGGGUCACGCAAACAUCUCAACAGGCCGUACCGAUAUCCGCAGCUGGUCUCCAAGGUGAAGAGUCUCUAGUCGAUAGAAUAAUGUAGGUAAGGGAAGUCGGCAAAUUAGAUCCGUAACUUCGG
rnacentral:rRNA from 1 species